UGAGAUUCUCCUCACAGAGCUGACACGGGCUUUUAAAAUCUUGACUCAUACUUCCCUGUAGGUUGCUUCUGGAAUUGUGACCUUCAUGCUGCAGAAGCGCUCUGAGGUCUCCAAGAGCUGUGGUCACACCAGCGCAGGGCACGUCCCUCAGGGAGUUCGGCUUUUCCUUCUCUGCCCUUUUGCUCUGCACACAUACACAGGUGACACGGACAGCACUUAGAAAAGGUGCUCAGGGGGACGUGUGCAUUUCAAGCCUCUCCUGCUGACUGCAUCCAUCACAGUGUUUCUCUACGAGCUUUGAGCCAAGGUGGAGAUUCUAAUGGAGAAUGAUGACGUGGAAACUGGACUUACUUGCAGACAGCCAUGACCUCACCCUCUUCAGCUCUUCUGGAAUUUCGGAAUGAGGUGAUUGUCUCAAUGGCAGGGUUUUACUCGGAGGAAAUCCUGCCUGCUCUCCCGACUGGCUCCAC
rnacentral:lncRNA from 1 species